rnacentral:lncRNA from 1 species
GGGUCAAGCUAUCUAGUCAUGUAGGCAUAUGAAUGCACAACAAGGGAUCUCUAACCUUCCAUGGUGGAGGGAGAAUACUCUAAGAUAUGAUUCUAAAGUCUUUGGCCAAAGCAAAUGAAUAUGACUUAGGAAGUUUGUUCCAAAUCAUAUUCAAAGGAAUCAUAUAGGAAAGUAUCACAUUGGAUAGUAGACAUGAAACAAAC